rnacentral:rRNA from 1 species
GACGAACGCUGGCGGCGUGCCUAAUACAUGCAAGUCGAGCGAAGCGGCGUAUGGGUGAGUAACGCGUGUGUAACCUGCCCUUAAGUAUGGGAUACCAUUUGGAAACCGAUGCUAAUCCCGGAUAAUAAAGGAUGGACCUGCGAUGCAUUAGCUAGUUGGUAAGGUAACGGCUUACCAAGGCGAUGAUGCAUAGCAGCGUUGAGAGACUGAUCGGUCACAUUGGGACUGAGACACGGCCCAAACUCCUAAGGGAGGCAGCAGUAGGGAAUCUUCCACAAUGGAAGAAAGUCUGAUGGAGCAAUGCCGCGUGAGUGAAGAAGGUUUUCGGAUCGUAAAGCUCUGUUGUUGGUGAAGCGGUAAUCAACCAGAAAGUCACGGCUAACUACGUGCCAGCAGCCGCGGUAAUUC